UACGUAGGGUGCAAGCGUUGUCCGGAAUUAUUGGGCGUAAAGAGCUCGUAGGCGGUUUGUCGCGUCUGCUGUGAAAACUGGAGGCUCAACCUCCAGCCUGCAGUGGGUACGGGCAGACUAGAGUGCGAUAGGGGAGAUUGGAAUUCCUGGUGUAGCGGUGGAAUGCGCAGAUAUCAGGAGGAACACCGAUGGCGAAGGCAGAUCUCUGGGCCGUAACUGACGCUGAGGAGCGAAAGCGUGGGGAGCGAACAGG
rnacentral:rRNA from 1 species